AUCACUUGCAUCCAAAGACGAUUUGGUCAUGUUCCUUUUCAGAAUCGCUCGUUUCUUUUAGUAAUUUAAGAUUAUGACUAGGCCUACAGCAUCUAACUAACUGUAAUCCUCUGAUAACUAAAUGUCUGAAGGCAAAAUACCAUUUUAUUGAUGAAUAUAUCUCCAUUUAACUCAUACAGUUUAGUGUAGGGUGUAAUGUCUGAAUGUUUUUGUUGACAGUAGCAGACACUACAUCUGCCUAUGAGCAAUGGACAGAACUGAGAAUACCAUAUCAUGAACAGUAGUGAACACUGCUGGCAACAUCCUGUUUUAACUCUGCGCUGUAUACUACUGAACACAAUGAAGGAUCAACGUCUUUUCAUUUCGGAAUUCAAGUAGGAUCGAUUUCUCUACAUACAAGCCCCACCAGUGCAGUUGGCACACAACAGCAUCUCUCCUGAUCAAGUGAAAAGGAAUCCUAUGACACCGCUUGAUCUUUGUCUGACAUGGAAAUCUGCAAAUCAAAUAAGGUGGAAGAAUAACAUCUGGUUAAAAAAUUUAUGUGGAAAAAUAUCUGCUUUAAAGUGAUGUCAUGAACUGGACGCUGCACUCUUGAUUCCAACACUAAUAUUGUCAUGACCAAAUGUUAAAGUUCAUAUUCAGCAAGUUGAAGAUAACUGACACCAUCUUUAAGUAUAAGUUUCACAAAUAUGGUAUUCAGAAGUUUUUUGUUUUCACUACUGAUGUAUAUAUAGUAUAAAAAAAUGGAUUUCUGUAAUAGAAUAAAGUAUUGGAAUACA
rnacentral:lncRNA from 1 species